CAAGACUCCGUCUCAAAAAAACAAAACAAAAAAAAGAAAACAGUUUGAAAAUUUCCCUGUAAAGUAAAACUUACAUUUACCAUGUAUGUUGCAGCAAUCUCCCUCUUAGGUGUUUACCCAGUGGAAAUGAAAGCUUAUGGGUCACACAAAAACUUAUUACAUGAAUACUUAGAGCAACUUUUAUUUAUAAUUGCCAAGAAUGAAAACCUAAUGUCCUUCAGCUGAUGGAUGUACCAACCAACUGGGGUACAUCCAUCCAAUGGAAUAUUAUUCAGCAAAGAAACCCCAAAUUAUUGAUACUCUCAACAGAAUGCAAGAAUCUUAAAAUAAUUAUGCUGAAUGAAAGAAGUCCAACUCAAAAGACUACAAACUAUACAAUUCCAUUUAUAUGACCUUCUGGAAAAGGGAAAGCCUUAGGGAUGGAGAUGUCCUGGGUUAGAGAUGGGAGAGAGCUGGAUUUCAAAGGAUGGUGAGAAAGACUUUUGAGGUGGGUGGAACUUUUCUGUCUUGAUUGUGGUGCUGGUUCCAUGAUCCUGUGCAUUUGUCAAAACUCAUAGAACUGUAGACGAGAGAGAGAGACAGAGAAAGGAAUUGCAUUGUACGUAAAUUUUAAAAAUAACUAUAAAAUGUGAGGGUUGGUUUCUGAACAGAGACCUAAUAAGUUAUCUGAGUAAUAUUAGUAUUAACCUUUAUUGAGCAUUUACUUUGUGCCAGGUGUUAUCUUGUGAAGUCCUCAAAACUAGCCACUGGGGUAGAUAUUAUGAGGUAGAGCUCCAGAGAGAACUGGAGGCUCAGAGAGGCUACAGUCAGCAGAGUCCAACUCAACCCCAGGUGGGUGAGGCUGCGAGGCCUGUGCAAGGUUCCCCGGGGCUGCAGCCUGCCCUCCCCUCCCCUUUUCUUUCCCUCCUGAAUCCUCCCCUUCCUGCCAGCACCUCCCUAUCCCGGCCCCUCCCAUCCUUCCCAGAAAAGCCUUCUCCACUCAUGUCACUUCUUUGAUGUAAAUUCCAGUGAGUAAGGAGGACGAUUUGGUCAAAGGUAUGAAAAUAUUUCUGACUUUUGAUCAAAUUUCUGUUCCUAUCCUUAAAUCAAUUUACAACCAGAUGGUGUCAUACCAAAGCACCUUGGGUACUUGGAGGAAAAUGUUCCUUUGUCCAGAGUCUCCUGCAGUGAUGUGGCUGCCCCUUCUUCCUCCACACCCUGUACUCUUUCCCAUUUCCAGUCCCUCUGCUGCCCUCAUACCUGGAGGCCACUCUUCUUUCCCAUUUCCAGCCCCUCUGCUGCCCUCAUACCUGGAGGCCAUUCCUCUCUGUGUCUGGAGGCUGUUCUGACCUAAGCUCCUUUAUCAGCAAAGUGGGUCCACUGUUCCUUUCCCUCCUCCCUCACCGUCUCCAUCUCAAUUCUUAGCCUUUUCCAAUUUUUCCAAUUCUUAGCCAAUUCUAGCCAUCUCCUGGCUGCCCAAUUCUUAGCCUUUCCUUCACCCUCACCCUUCUUGUCAGGCCACUGUUUCCCAAGGAUAUUUCUUGCAUGAGGCUGAUGCUGAGUCCUUUGAGAGGAAGAGACCUACAGCUGGGAGAGGGGGCUCCUACAAGGAGGAGGCAGCAGGUUGCAUAGCCCAGGCUCAGGUGCCCGCUGGGGAUGACCCAGGAAAACACCCACCAAGCCAGCAUGUUAGGGGGCACCCUCACCUAGGAAAGUGAGGUACAAGACAGGGAGUGUGUACUCUGCAUAAAUAAAAAUGCCCUAGGAUGAGGAUGUGGAAGGAGAACUAGAGGAUUAUUCCUGUUUUGUUCUCUGUACUUGGAGAAACCCUCUGUGCUUCUCAUAUCACGGGGCCUGUGGGGCUGAAAACAGGGUGGCUUGAAGACAUCCUCUCCUACUCUCCCCUCCCCUUUCUUCAGCUCCCCUCCCCUCUCCUCGGUGCUGUGGGUGCCUCUGCUCAUGGAGGGAACCAUGUGGCUGAGGCUGUUGUGAUUCUUUCUGAUUUGGUCUUGUGGUCUCUUUCUGCAGAGUUCCUAUAAACUGUGCCCCACCUAAUGGGCCUCGGGGAUUUGGUGGUGGAUGUGUACAGCACGCCUUUCACAAGAUUCUUCUUUAUCCUGGCAGGUGGCCUCAUGCCUGAGGGUGAGACCCAUGGUCUGGUGUUGCUCUCACAGGAAUCUUGUUCAUACUGGCAGACUCCUUGUGGCUCCCAUCUGACCUGUUUCCAGCUAUUCCCAAUAAGAUAGCCACUCUUUAGGCCAGCCCUGACUAGGAGAGGAGCUAGGUUCUGGUGCAUCUGUCCGGGGAGACAGAGGAGGCAACUGGACAAAGCACAUAGAGUCACAGAAGCAGCAUAUUCCUCACAGAUCCCAGAGAGAAGAAGGCAGAAUACCUCACAUGGCUAGCGGAAUGGAGGGAGCUGCCUGGGGCACACACACACACAACCACUGGGUGGGGAUCGAGAGAGAGGAGGACCUGUAAGCUGAGGCCUUAAGUGGGGUCCAGGGGUCUACCCCAGGCAGGUUUCCCAUAGGGAGUUCUAAUUGAUGGGUUUAGAGCAAGCAGGCACCGGUUCCAUGUAAUCACGCCAUGACUGAGAGGUGGUCAUUGCAGCAUAUCUGUGAGGUCCAUGUGGGGUCAGUGGGGUGAGUCAAGUAGGUUGUAUCCAGCUGUCUCGUAGGGCAGUGGUCACCAGGAGGUGUUUGUAUAAGGCAGAUGUCUGGAUUGAUCACAUUGAGGAACUGGAAGGAGGUGGAGAGCUGGAAACUGUGUUAAGGAAAAAAGUUUGCGGGUUCCCGGGCCAUGCUCUCAUUAUUGUUGGCGUUAUGAGGAAAUGCAGAUACAGCAGCAGAAGGAAGAUCUGAGAGAAGAAGACAACAGGGUCACUGAAGUUGUGUUAAAGUGGUGCAGCACAUUUGCCCUCUUUUUUUUUUGUACUUUCAAGACUGGCCACAAUGCUGAAUUUCAACGAAAGCACCCAUAAGGAAGCCUGCCUUUUGAUGUGCUCAGCCUGCGAGGGUCGGGAGGAAGAGAGGGGCCUGCCGCCUCGCGCCCUGCCCGCGCGCCCUCUGUGGGUGCCGCUGGUCC
rnacentral:lncRNA from 1 species